GUGGCCCAAUGUGGGCGUGGCCAAAGUGGAGGCACGCCCCGAUUCGCGGGCGGGAUUCAGGCUUCGCGCAAGAUGGCAGACCGCACCGAAAGAGCUUACUAACAAUUCACCCUCGAAUAUUGAAUAUAAAGUGUGGUAAACGUUUGAAUUAUAUAUAUAAAAAAAGAAUGUUCUGUUGGAAAAAGUAUAGCCAUUUGUUAACGUUUUCGAAAGGAGCGGUAAAGUAGUUGUGACGUCACCGAGACACUCAAGCCGGCGAUGAUGGAGCUAAUGAUGCUGAUGGUAAAAGAGCAACCAGCUGACCAGACAAGGACGCUGAUUUGAAAGACUUCAGCUCUAAUUUAUCCUCAACUCUGCGAGGUCACACAAGCUGCAGACAGCAUCUUAUUAGGCGCUCGCUAGAGGGACGCCAUAAUAAUGAAGUAGAUGAGGACGCCAUCAGGAAGCACCGCGAGACGAGAAGGGCCCCACCUUCUGAAAUGCAUCUCCAAUUGAGAACCCCCAGAUCAAUGUGUGGAGCUCAGCGAACGACAAGGAUCAGACUCGGGAUGGAAGCGCCAAAAACUACAACAAAGAUGGCGGGGAGAAGACGCUGUUGAAGUGGAG